rnacentral:rRNA from 1 species
AACAGCCCAAACCAAGAGGCUUGCCUCUUGGGGUUGUAGGACACUCUGUACGGAGUUACAAAAGAACGAGGUAGAUGAAGAGGUCUGGAAAGGCCCGCCAUAGGAGGUAACAGCCCUGUAGUCAAAACUUCGUUCUCUCCUGAGUGGAUCCUGAGUACGGCGGAACACGUGAAAUUCCGUCGGAAUCCGGGAGGACCAUCUCCCAAGGCUAAAUACUCCCUAGUGACCGAUAGUGAACCAGUACCGUGAGGGAAAGGUGAAAAGCACCCCGGAAGGGGAGUGAAAGAGAUCCUGAAACCGUGUGCCUACAAGUAGUCAGAGCCCGUUAACGGGUGAUGGCGUGCCUUUUGUAGAAUGAACCGGCGAGUUACGAUCCCGUGCAAGGUUAAGUUUGAAAAGACGGAGCCGCAGCGAAAGCGAGUCUGAAUAGGGCGCAUGAGUACG